rnacentral:misc_RNA from 1 species
CAUUGAGAGAAGCUCACC